UACCUGCAGCUCUAGUGGUGAUCGCUAUUAUUGGGCCUAAAACGUCCGUAGCCGGCUUAUUAAAUGCCUGGGUAAAUCGUGUAGCUUAACUAUACGAAUUCCGGGUAGACUGAUAGGCUUGAGACCGGGAGAAGCUAGAGGUACUCCUGGGGUAGAGGUGAAAUUCUGUAAUCCUAGGGGGACCACCAGUGGCAAAGGCGUCUAGCUAGAACGGGUCUGACGGUGAGGGACGAAGCCCUGGGGCGCAAACCGGAUUAGAUACCCGGGUAGUCCAGGGUGUAAACGCUGCUUGCUUGAUGUUAGUUGGGCUCUGAGCCCAAUUAGUGUCGGAGAGAAGUUGUUAAGCAAGCUGCCUGGGAAGUACGGUCGCAAGACUGAAACUUAAAGGAAUUGGGCGGGGGAGCACAGCAACGGGUGGAGCGUGCGGUUU
rnacentral:rRNA from 1 species